UUUUAUAGUUAUUACUGCUUGCUUUAGGUGUUAAAGAUUUGAGCAGUGUCAGUGGCUGCUGGGCCUUUGUGUGUGCGUAGUGACGUGUGUGUUAAGCCCCCGCUGCUUGGCUGGAAUUUGUGGGGAGGCCUGUUGAUCGCUGAUUGUGUAAUUUGUGUUUCUGAUUGCUUUGUGGUCACCGUAUGAGUAAAUAUGACCGGUUGUUGUGGGUUUGUUUUGGUUUCUUUGGUAAUUCCAUUCAUUUUGAAUUCAUGUGAUGCAGCAUCCUGUCAUACUGUGUGAAAGUGAUGCUUCAGUCAGCGUGUGUUCAUGUCUCUGCAGUAGUGUAUUAGGUGUCUCUAGGUGUUGAGUCUUGUGUUAAAUCAUGUUAUUCCACACAGUAAUGUCCUAGUGUCAUGGUGAGGUUAUUCAAAGGUGAUUUAAUAGAUGUAGGAUAGCACUUGUCAAGUUAUGUAUGGUUCACACUUCAGCUCUUUGCUCAAACUUGAAAAAGGGCUCUGCAAGGACUGAAGGACGCAAGGGACAACUCCGAUUUCUUCUGACUUCUCUUUUAUUUAAUUCCAGUUUAGUUUGUUGUAGAUGGAUUUUAAUUUGUAGGUACAAGCAGCAGAGGAAUUAUUAAUAGCAGUAGAAGAUUGUAGUAGCAGUAGUAGUAGAAGAUUGUAGUUAGUUAGUUAGUUAGUUAGUUAGUAGUAGUAGUAGUAGUAGUAGUAGUAGAAGAUUGUAGCUAGCAGUAGUAUAAGUUAGGUUGAUAACCUUUAAAGGCAAAAACA